CGCGCAAAUUACCCAAUUCUAACAGUUUGAGAGAGGUAGUAACAAGAAAUAACAAUACAAGGCAGUUAAAAUGCUUUGUAAUUGGAAUGAUAGAAAUUUAAACCCUUUUUAAAGUAUCAAUUGGAGGGCAAGUCUGGUGCCAGCAGCCGCGGUAAUUCCAGCUCCAAUAGCGUAUAUUAAGAUUGUUGCAGUUAAAAAGCUCGUAGUUGAAGUUCUGCUGAAAGUAACCGGUCUG
rnacentral:rRNA from 1 species